AAUAUGAGGAUGUUUUAGAGGGGGAGGCAGAAGAGGCGAGGAGGAGGACGGGAGAGGGAGGGGGACUAUGUAUGUCGGGGUGCUUUGUAGCCCUUUUUACCCAUCUUCCAGUCUGCAAUGGGCCCGGCUAAGGAAGCAGCUGUUUGAUCUGCAGUAUGUUCGAGCGGGAUCCGCUGACUGCAUUAAUUAAAAUAGGCUUGACGUGUUCCUUUUUUUUUUUUUCUUUUAAUACCAUCCCAUAUCUGUGCCCCCACCUCCGCUCCUCUGCAUCUCAUCAACUCUGCAUGGAGAGAGCGUGCACCCCCUCGCAAAUUAGAGAUGGGGAGGUGUUUCUAAUCAAUAGUGGCGUUUGUGUAGGCUGGCAACAGCUGCAGUUGCAACCCCAAAAAUAUAAAGACUCCUGAAUCUGACGGCUAUAUGCGCGGAUGCCUCAUAUGCUCACCGAUGCUCUUUUGUUACCUCUGCGGUGAGGCCUCCCCACAAAGGAGGAAAAAUGUCUUUUGGGGGCUCAGUAAUUAUCCACACAAAGCUAGGACAUGCCUCUGUCUCCUGGCUUUGACUUGGACGUGUGCACCAGUUUCAUGGCGGCGCCACUGACAAGCAGAUAUACAACAUCUGGUCACCUGACUUCUUUGGGGAUGGGAGUGGGGGCGGGGUGCCGGUCCUGUGAGAGCCAAGCCGCUAUCCUCCAGAUUCUUCCACACCCCAUCGAUGGAGCACGAUUGGACGGAUGGGACCCAGAUGAAUGCAUUUCCGCCACCAUUUCGUGCGACUGAGCCAAAGUGAGCGAUCCGUCCGUCUGUGAGACUUGUGAGGCGCAAGGCCUGCUGGGAAACCUGUUGUCUAGCUGUCAGGCGUGAGGGAGAUUUUAGGGAGUCAACCCAGUGAUGGAAGGGAGGGUGAGAUGAUAACAAGGAGAAUUGGGGGAUGGGUUCCAGAAGGUGUUACUCCCUGCUAACACUGGUCUGCUGUAUAUAUUGAUAUUCAGUGGAUGCUUCUCUUUGUGAUUCUAACAACAUAAUGACAGUUAUUCCUUGCCCUCACAUUUAAAAAGGCAAUAUUAAGUUGUCCCAGUUGAAGAUGAGACCUACCGAGCUCGUCGACACAGAUGUAUUUAUUCUCUUCCCUCUUCAUUGUGCUCAUAAAGUCGUCAAGGCUUCAUUUGCAGAUGUUUAGCACGGGAACUGAGCUCUGUCUGCCCUCCACCCAGAAUUCACUCGAUUCAGUCUGUCUGUAGUCUCUGAAGGUUACAUGCAACUCAUGAAAAUUUCAUUGCUGAAAACAAGUAGGCAAAAGGUAAGAUGUCCGAUUGCCACAAUGCAUUACUGCAAAGAGUUGUAAAACUGCACCGGCCGCUCAACCAUUUGUAUCGUCAACAAAUCUAACUGUGCGGGUGAAGGGGAACGAACAAGUUAUGAUGCAUGUGUGUCAGUUCAUUCCUUAUUAGCGCUAUGCUAAUAAACAACUUUCAGUCUCCACUAAACUUGCAGAUUAGGAUAAAUUCUGUCUUUCUCUGUUGCUUUGGGAUUUUUCUUAGAAGUGAUCCAAAUAUGAAUCCUUAUGCCAAAUUUCGAUUGUUUGACCUUGGCAGAGUUUUGCUCUCCAUACCAUUUAAAGAAUAAAACCAAAUAGUAGCUGAUUUUAUGAUGGCCUAUUUUUCCCCUUCCUGUGUUUGCAUUUCUUUGGCCUCCUUCUGUUUUCCAUUACGGCCGAUGUAACCCAACACACGCAGCCUCUCUUACCUCGCCUCGGCUAACAAAAGCGGCAGAACAUCGUCUUGGCCUGCAGCCCACUUAAAGUGGACUUUCUGAAAUCUGAUACACGCACAUGGAGGCCUCCAUCUGUUGGAGUCGGGGUGAGACUUGCUGCUGGAUAGCGUUAUUGUUCCGUCAAGUUACCGUUAAGGUCUCCCGUGUCUUCUAUCAAUGCAGGAGUUAGGUGGGGCAUGUGUGUUUGUUUUAGGGGCUAACUGACUGACUCCAGCAGUGUAUUGUCGUAGGUGUGUCACUGUGUGUGUGUGUGUGUGUCUGUGUGUGUGCGCGCGCCCGCAUGUGUGCAAAAGUGCAGUUACAAGGGGAAAGUCAUGAUUCAUUUUACCUGACCAAAGUUGGAUUUGAGCAUUCUUCAUCAAUCCUGCUUUAUUUUAGCUUAGCAUUGCGCUUAUUUAAUAACAGUUAAUUGUUUGUCAUUUUUCAAAUCUGGCCCGAAACUGGCUCCCAUUUCAGAUCAAACGAGCAAAUAUUCAAUGGUGUUGUUCAAUAUGGUAUAAGGACAUAUUUAACUUUGAUUCGAUAUGCUUUAAGACUCUUUUUAACAUUCAGGGUUAUGUUACUAAGCCGCUCUUAUUUGCAAAUUUGCAUGCAAGUGCAUUGCCAAUUUUAUACCUCAUAUAAUAUUUACAAUAUUUCAUUGAUUAUUUUAAAAUGUGUACAAAUGCUCAGUUGCAUCUUUUGUUUGCAUGAAUUUUAUUUUGUACAUUAUUGCUCAAUACCGUCAGUUAAACUACAACUUAAUCCCGCUUAAAUUGUUUACUAUAAUCCUUCUGAAAAUCAAUUUUGAAUGAAUAAGUAAAUUAUUUGUUGUUUUUAUUGCUGAAAAAUAUUUGAUUGUCGUUGGGACUAAAUACCAAAAAUCUGCCCUCAAAAAUCCUUGUGGAAAUAUUGAAUACAUAAUGUUAAUGUGCAAUUAAUAUUCAAUAUUUCAACUUUUUAUGUCCCCUUUCUCUUGGUAUUGUUAUUAUUAUUUUUAUUAUUAUUAUUUCUACUUUUUUGAGACCAUCAAAAAGCCUCCGUCCAGGUUUCUAAAAUGUUUUCUCCCGCUGUGACUUUGUUGUGAUUGGACUUUUCAGUCAAUCCAGUAAUUGAUGUCAAUCAUGAUAACAACACUACCUAUCGGUUGUGAUGUCGCUCUUGUGUGUGUGCAUGUUUAAGAUUAUUGUCACAAUCUGAAGAUACAUUAUUAAACAGCUGGUUAUUGCUGAUCAACACUAAAGUUAUGCAUUACAAUGCAAUAAUAUAAUUCGGAAGCUAGCACUUGUUAUAUUCCUCAUUUUAAUGUUCAAACAAAGUAAAGGGUGGCCUUUUAUUUGAAACAAUCACAAAUCCCAUCACAAAUACCAUACAGUAUCCAGACUUGUUUGUAUUGGUGUAUCCCCAUGUAGCUACACCACCGUGUGCGCGCUCUCUUGUCUUCCUAUCUAUGUGCGACAUUUCAUCCUAUUAAAUUGUGAGUUUCCGAGGGCUACCUCAGUCAAGUCCUCCGACGUGACAUCGAGGUGUGUGGGGAAUUGCUCAGACACAUUUUGUACCUCCAUUGUACAGCAAAGGUCCACAACAUGGAGUGAUGUGACACAUGAGUCAUGCAUGUUAAACAACCAAUUGUACACUGUCUCAUCGUUCACUUAGGUUAAGAUUGUUAGGAUAUAUGCAGCGGUUACAAAAUGUCUACACACCCCUCUUUGAAUGUUUUUUUUUUUUUUUUAUGAUACAGAAUGAGAAAAUGGCAAAUCAUUUAGGAACUGUUUCCACGUUUAAUGUAUGAUCUGGACAACUGAAUUGUAUAACAAGUCAGGAUAAUUUGACAUAUAUUUUGAGUUAAUCAGAGGCACUUAAAUUGGUGGCAGUUGUGUGCUAACUCCCACGUAACAUGAUUUCUGAUAUGAUUGAUAAUAUCCCUAAUCAGGUGAAUAUAGCCUCACUUAUGAGGGUGUGCACACUUGUGCAACCAUUGUAGAAAAGUUGGUAGAAACUUGAAAUGAUUUAUCUUGUUUUUGUUUUUUCUACCACAUUGGAACAGGGGUGUGUAGACUUUUUGUAUCCACUGUAUGUACAGUAUGUAAUGUAUGUAUGUAUGUAAAUAUGAAAGAGGGAACCAUCCCUUCUCCCCUCACCCACCCCCUUUUUUUCAAAUGAUGUAACUUAAAAAUAAGACAUUUCAGGUUGCUUUAUAGUAUGUAUCAGUCGAUGUUUUGCACUCUGCAAAUGGAACAAAAGAAGGAACACGCACACCCUCUGCACUCCAAGGGUCCCCUCAUUUUGGGCUCCAAUAAGACAGUGAACUGAUGAGUGUGUGUGUGCGCGCGCGAUGGGUAUGGCUGGCCUGUGAGGACGCUUGGUGCAAAAGGCCCCAAUGACGCCCAUGCACAGGUGCGAACUGUGAGCACGAGAGGUGGCGAUGCCUCCGAAGUGCCGCCUUCCCCCCUUUCCGUGGUGGCUCCUGUGCAUUCCUAUCUUCUGAAUGUGUCAAUCUGUACACGUGGUGUGAAAAUUCCUCUAUUAAUGUGUAUCAAGAGAAUGGAACAAAGACAAAAAAAUGUUACUUUUUAAAUUAUUAUCAUUACUACUACUCUUAUUAUUGUCAAGCUUUGUAAAACUGCUGAUCCAUUUGGCGUACCCUCAGCAGGCUGGCUGCUCCCCGCCUUUGAGGACAAAAAGGACAUAAAAGCCCGACGGGGAAAUGAGGUUUUGGAUAAACUAUUUUUAAUUGUGGUUGAAGCAAUAGACUUUUUGAACUUUGAAUUGUGCAUGGCUGUGUCUUGAGUGUACAAAAAAAUUAUUGCAGUUUGGGAACUGGACUGAAAUAAAAAGAAACCGAGUUGCUGUAA